rnacentral:rRNA from 1 species
GGAUGCGAUCAUACCAGCACUAAUGCACCCGGAUCCCAUCAGAACUCCGCAGUAAGCGUGCUUGGGCGAGAGUAGUACUAGGAGAUGGGUGACCUCCCGGGAAGUCCUCGUGUUGCAUCCC